AGAGGGGGGAGGAGGAGGAGGGGAAGAGGAUGGCGUCGCAGGGUUAAGGCGUGCUGUGUGGACGCGCAUCCCUCCAGACGGAAACCGGAAAGAGAGAGCUUGGAGGCGCAGGCGGUCCGAGCUCCUCGGGGUGCGUUCUGAGGAGUGAAGUGAGUGGUAGCUCAAGGAGAAGGAAUUUGACUAUGGCCAGGUUCCCGGAUUAAAACAAACUAGAAAAUGUGGGAUCAAGGAAACUAAGAGAGAGACAGCCAGCGAGAGAGGGAACACAGGGAGAGUGGGAGAGAAAGAAGCAAA